CUUUGAUUGAAAAUUCUAAUUAACUUGUAUUAAGAAAAAUGAACAUUGAUUGUAUUAUACUUUUGAUCUUUCAUGUCUUUUUGUUCAUUCAAUUUGAUUUGCAUGAUUUGAUUGUCUAAUCAUUUUUGAUAAUCAUUUGAAGUUAAAUUGAAUCUGAAAUCUACUCUUACUCCAAGAAAUAAUUUUGAUACAUACUUCUAAUUUUGAAACUCAUUUGAAAAUCUGAAAAUAAUAUAGAAUAUUUUUUAUGCC
rnacentral:lncRNA from 1 species